GCUUAAAUAGCUUAUAAAGAGCAUGACAUUGAAGAUGUCAGGGAGACCUCUGGGUCUUUGAGCA
rnacentral:tRNA from 1 species